UCACGGAGAAAGGACGAAUUAUUGUUGUUGUUGUUGUACCGAGUGUAUUAUAAUAUUAUAAUGUACCCUACCAAAACAUUGACCGCACGAUGCAAACUAUGCCGUUUGGUUUCCCGCGGAAGAUAAUUGAUUUAUUGUAGCAUAGUGCACAGACGUUUACGUACUUUGAAAUACAUAUUAAUUAGACGAAUUAACGGAAACGAAAUAUAUAACUCGCCAGUGUUAUGUUUGUACACCGCGACUUUAGGACAUUAACCUCGGGAGAAUGCCACGCUGCGGACGACAGCCACUGUAUAUGUGUAUACAUUAUAUCUGUAUGCCACAGAGACAGACUAGUAAUAUAGCGCAUUAAAUAUAAAUAUAAACAGCUGGCAAGGUCGGUUUAUAUAGGCGCGCUGUCGGCGAGUUGUCGUGCGUAUUACAUUCCAGCCAAACAAGUUGAUCAACAAAUUUAAUUUCGCACAAAACCAUUCAUUCAAGACACUUUUUCUAGAAGAAAAAAAUGCUCCAAUCAUCAACAUCGAUAGAAGUUUUUUGUAAUACAUUGGAAAAAGUUAACUUUGGACUGGUCAAAAUUGAAAAUUAUUAGUACUUUUUAAAAUAAUAUGAACAUUUGUUAAAAUUUGAAAAAUAUUAUCAAUAUACCUAACUAUUAACCAUGUUCAACAAAAGAUAAACCGUCUUCGCUCAGAACUGUUUUUUAUCAUAUUUAAUUUCCAGGAUACGCAUAGCCACAGCAACAUAUGGCACAAGAAAUUGGAUACACAUGUAUCGUACCGUACAUCCUAACGAACAACGUGGGUAGCUUAUGAGAUAAUAUUUUCGCUAAGUUAAAUAAUUUGCUUGUAUAUAUAUUUUUUAAAACGAGACAGUUGUUGUAAAUUAUAUGAUAGAUAUUGUCACACACAUGGAUGGAUUAUAACAUACCUACAAAUAUUUUACUGACUUUGUUGCAUUUUUUGUAUAUUAUACUCAUCCAUAGUCCGUAGUGCACUUUAUUAUAUUUAAAUAAAAAUCCAUUAGUCACUAAUCUUUAGUCUUAUUUGAUGAAAAGUAAGUGUGAUUCAUAUAAAAAAAUACUUUGGAAUUGAAUAUUAGUAUUAUAUUAUAAUUUAUAAUAUAUUAUUCAUGUAAAAAUAGAGAAAAAAAUGGUCCAUAAAAAUGUGCUUGGGUCAGAGAACUCGGAUGUUAGUAUCCUAACAUUAUAAUACCUAGCGUUAAAGAUUAUUAUUAUAAGUUUUUUCGUAGGUAUUAAAUAUUCCCACAUAAUAUGUAUCUUCAUAAAAUCAUAACGUUAUAUUCUCAUGCCAUUUCAUUGUUUUAUAUUUUACGCUUCCGCUGAUACUAUCUUAAGGAUUUGAUAAAAGCUUAUAUAAUGCCAUAAGAUUAUAAUACAUAUUUUUGUUUGCACAUUAACGAUUUACUGUAUUAUUCUAAUACCUAUGGAUGUAUAGUUGUUUCAUAUUUAUAUUUAUCCUAAAAUAAUUUAUAAUAAAAAUAUUCAACUGAAAAAAAUAAGUCGAAGUUGUGCACUUAUACAUAAACCAUGAUUUAUAUAAUAGGCACCUUCUCUUCUUGUUUACCUUGAAACGUUAUAACUAUUAUAACAACUGUCAUCAACUAUUAUGUGCGUACUG